CUUGCUACUUUGCCGGCGAGCGGCGGACGGGUGAGUAAUGUCUGGGAAACUGCCUGAUGGAGGGGGAUAACUACUGGAAACGGUAGCUAAUACCGCAUGACGUCGCAAGACCAAAGUGGGGGACCUUCGGGCCUCACGCCAUCGGAUGUGCCCAGAUGGGAUUAGCUAGUAGGUGAGGUAAUGGCUCACCUAGGCGACGAUCCCUAGCUGGUCUGAGAGGAUGACCAGCCACACUGGAACUGAGACACGGUCCAGACUCCUACGGGAGGCAGCAGUGGGGAAUAUUGCACAAUGGGCGCAAGCCUGAUGCAGCCAUGCCGCGUGUGUGAAGAAGGCCUUAGGGUUGUAAAGCACUUUCAGCGAGGAGGAAGGCGUUGURGUUAAUAGCUGCAACGAUUGACGUUACUCGCAGAAGAAGCACCGGCUAACUCCGUGCCAGCAGCCGCGGUAAUACGGAGGGUGCAAGCGUUAAUCGGAAUUACUGGGCGUAAAGCGCACGCAGGCGGUUUGUUAAGUCAGAUGUGAAAUCCCCGAGCUUAACUUGGGAACUGCAUUUGAAACUGGCAAGCUAGAGUCUUGUAGAGGGGGGUAGAAUUCCAGGUGUAGCGGUGAAAUGCGUAGAGAUCUGGAGGAAUACCGGUGGCGAAGGCGGCCCCCUGGACAAAGACUGACGCUCAGGUGCGAAAGCGUGGGGAGCAAAC
rnacentral:rRNA from 1 species